rnacentral:rRNA from 1 species
GCGUAUAGAAUCUGCCUUGUACAGGAAGAUAGCCUUUAGAAAUGAAGAUUAAUAUUCCAUAAUACUGAGAUGUGGCAUCACAAUUUAGUUAAACAUUUAUGGGUACAAGAUGACUAUGCGUCCUAUUAGCUAGAUGGUAAGGUAACGGCUUACCAUGGCAACGAUAGGUAGGGGGUCUGAGAGGAUUAUCCCCCACACUGGUACUGAGACACGGACCAGACUCCUACGGGAGGCAGCAGUGAGGAAUAUUGGACAAUGGAGGCAACUCUGAUCCAGCCAUGCCGCGUGCAGGAAGACUGC